GCGGUGAGCCGAGGAUACAGAUAAUAAUUGGGCAUACUAAAUUGGGGAGAAAAUGGGGGUAAAAAAAUUGGCGACGACUAAAUUUAAUUUAAAAAAAAAAAAAAAAAAAAAAGCUGCCUAAACCUCACAAAUCUGCAAGGCAUAGAUGCUCAGCCUGCCCCAAAUGUGGAAUUCGUGUUUUGCAUUUUUAUUUUUUUAUCAUUCAAUACAUUUCAAUACACAUGUUUCCCUAACGUAAAAAAUUGAUGAAAUUCGUGGAAAAAAGCUAGACAAAAAUAUAUAUGUAUUAUUUUGAGGAAUCAGACUAGUUAAUAAAAUUAGGUGUAGUGUAUUGUUUUCUAUUUAAUUAUUAAAAAAGAUAUGGGGUAUAAAAUUCUAACAAAAGGGGAGGGGGUGAUUAUUCAACAAUGUUUAUGUUUUGUGAGGGAAAUAGGCGAUAUUGCUUUAAGGAAUGGGGGCUGCAACAAAAAACUACAUGGCCCAGACUGCCUAGCGCCAGGGUUAACUACGGGGCGGGGUUAAGCAGUAUAAAAGAUAGCAGAGCAGAGAAAUCGGUGUGUUGUUUGGGGAAGCACUGCCCGAUUGUGUUGCUGCAUACCGGAGUUUACUGGAGUUCCUGCUGUUACUUUGUUUUGUCUGCUAAAUAAACAAAUAAUAAGUACCUGCUGACACCGUAGUUAGUUUUGAAAAGUAUAGUUUAGUUCAAAGAACCGUUUUGUGCAUUCGCUUUUGUUUAUUUAUCAGUUUCCUGUAAAAAUACAGCCAAGUUCAAAUGUUGUGUGUUUAUUUUGUUUGCCUGCGUUAUUUACUGCGGUGAGGCAGAAAAGCCAAGGUCUGCUGGGCCAGAGCGAACCUGUGGAAACCUUUUGUUUGUGCUGUGUGAAGAAUGGAGAAAGAAAACAAGGACACCACGACUGUAGAGGGGGACUGUGUAUUGGUUUAGCACUUUGUGUAUUGUUUGUACCACACUCAUCACCCAGUGCCUCACUGUUUCUGGAGGGGGAGCCAUUUCCCCACCUACCUGUGCUUCACUGUUCCUGGAGGGGGAGCUAUUUCCCCAACAUACCUGUGUUUCACUGCUCCUGGAGGGGGAGACAAUUUCCCCAACUUACCUGUACUUCACCUUCACUGUUCCUGGAGGGGGAGCCAUUUCCCCAACUUACCUCUGCUUCACUGUUCCUGGAGGGGGAGCCAUUUCCCCAACUUGCCAGUGCUCUACUUUUCCUGGAGGGGGGAACCAUUCCCCAACUUACCUUUCCUGACCUGUGUUCCUGGAUACGUCAUCCAGGGGAGCCUCCAACAUUCCCUUACCUGAGAGGCCGGAGUGUCCCACGAGGGGGAGCCAGUGACCGGGACCAGUGUUACUGUCUCCUCUUCAUCACCUACAGUUAGCUAGGGUCGAAGAAGUGAGCUAGUUAGUAGCCCGUACAGGGCGUGUCUAUAAACGUCCUGUUUGUAAAUACUUGUAAAUAAAAAGCAACUUACCUGUGAAUGCAGCAUGUCCUUCUGAUCCAUACCUGGGGAAAAAACACACCCUAGUGGCGAGUACGAAUAGCGUCUUUCACAGCUUAAAUAGCAUUUUUUUUUAUUUUAUUGUGAGGUACAACAUCAUGAUGGUAUUACAGGAACCGAGUCGCCCAAAGUUCGAAAUAUGUACCUAGACCAUCUGACUCGAGGAAUAAUGGGCGUUAAGGAGUUAAUGGCUGCAUUAUUCCUUUUAUCAAGGAAAAACUCACCAUACCCUGGCAACCUGGAAGUCAAGAGCAAUAGCACCUCUCAGGACCUUCAACAACAUAUCCUAGUGUAUAACCCACUGGCUUGGAAUAUCACUACAUUCAUCAAUGUUACAGUGAUGUUCCCAAUGGCCAAGGUGUACGAUGACAGUGGAAACCGUAUUCCAGCACAGAAAAGCCCUCUGUGAAGAGUUGGCCUGAGGGACAAAGCAGGGUCCAUGUGGAGUCUGUCAGCCUUUCUAAGUCAUGGAAAUCAAUUAUUACUACUCACAAGUCUCUACAUUUUUUUUCUGGAUUGGUAACUUUAUUGGGUGCUUUUUCUUUUAUGAACAAAUCAUGCUAAUUAUUUGCUGUAAAUAGCAUUGAGAAACUAGCCAUACUUGUUUUUAGUUUGAUAUUGAAGAGGAACAUUUUUUUGUAAUGUGUUGCUAUUUAAAGGGCAGCAGUGUGGAGUAGUGGUUAGGGCUCUGGACUCUUGACCGGAGGGUCGUGGGUUCAACCCCAGGUGGGGGACACUAGCUGCUGUACCCUUGAGCAAGGUACUUUACCUAGAUUGCUCCAGUAAAAACCCAACUGUAUAAAUGGGUAAUUGUAUGUAAAAAUAAUGUAUAAUAUAAUGUAAUUGUAUGUAAAAAAUAAUGUGUAAAAAAAAUAAAAUAAUGUAAUUGUAUGUAAAAGUAAUGUGUAAAUAAAAUAAUGUAAUUGUAUGUAAAAAUAAUGUGAUAUCUUGUAACAAUUGUAAGUCGCCCUGGAUAAGGGCGUCUGCUAAGAAAUAAAUAAUAAUAAAAUACUGUACGAUUACAGAAAAACAGAAACAAGCUGACCCAGAUUUUGAUCGGGUGCUGCUGAGAAUCAUGCAUUUAUAUGAGGUUGAAGAAGAUCCUGUUCUGUCCCUGCCUGCAACUAUCAAUCUGAAGGAUCUGCUUAGUGGUUUGGGCACAGUGGCCUCUGUGGAAGAGCGUUCCCUCACAGGAACCUGGGAUCUCAGUGAGCUGAACAGAUGGAAAUGGAGAACCUCACAGAAAGAAGACAAAGGUUUGAAUUGAAUUGAAUACGGUACAUCAAGUCAUCGACCCAGAAGGAAAGCGAUGUAGCAACUGUGGAUUGCAGAAGAAAUGGUUGCACUCGCUAACCAAGGGGGUGUGACUGACAGUACAAAAGGUGAUCUGUUCCUUUGUUUAUGGUUAAGAGAGAACCGCUGAAGGACGAAAGUAAAAUAACCGUGAGUGUUUAGUGUUUGUUUGUUUUGUCUAAUUG